rnacentral:rRNA from 1 species
CACGUAGGGUGCAAGCGUUAAUCGGAAUUACUGGGCGUAAAGCGUGCGCAGGCGGUUUUGUAAGACAGAGGUGAAAUCCCCGGGCUCAACCUGGGAACUGCCUUUGUGACUGCAAGGCUUGAGUGCGGCAGAGGGGGAUGGAAUUCCGCGUGUAGCAGUGAAAUGCGUAGAUAUGCGGAGGAACACCGAUGGCGAAGGCAAUCCCCUGGGCCUGCACUGACGCUCAUGCACGAAAGCGUGGGGAGCAAACAGG